CAGUAGUCACGAGUUUGAUCCUGGCUCAGAACGAACGCUGGCGGCAUGCCUAACACAUGCAAGUCGAACGAGACCUUCGGGUCUAGUGGCGCACGGGUGCGUAACGCGUGGGAACCUGCCUUAGGUUCGGAAUAACUCAGAGAAAUUUGAGCUAAUACCGGAUAAUGUCUUCGGACCAAAGAUUUAUCGCCUUUAGAUGGGCCCGCGUUGGAUUAGCUAGUUGGUGGGGUAAAGGCCUACCAAGGCGACGAUCCAUAGCUGGUCUGAGAGGAUGAUCAGCCACACUGGGACUGAGACACGGCCCAGACUCCUACGGGAGGCAGCAGUGGGGAAUAUUGGACAAUGGGCGAAAGCCUGAUCCAGCAAUGCCGCGUGAGUGAUGAAGGCCUUAGGGUUGUAAACCUCUUUUUUCAGGGAGGAAUAAAAUGACGUGUACCUGAAGAAUAAGCAUCGGCUAACUCCGUG
rnacentral:rRNA from 1 species